CGGUGAAUACGUUCCCGGGCCUUGUACACACCGCCCGUCACACCACGAAAGUCGGCAACACCCGAAACCGGUGGCCCAACCUUAGGGAGGGAGCCGUCGAAGGUGGGGUUGGCGAUUGGGGUG
rnacentral:rRNA from 1 species